rfam:Larimichthys crocea isolate SSNF unplaced genomic scaffold scaffold259, whole genome shotgun sequence.
GUUCCCCAUUUUUGUAAGUCGCUUUGGAUAAAAGCGUCAGCUAAAUGGCCAAAU